rnacentral:rRNA from 1 species
UACGAAGGGGGCGAGCGUUGUUCGGAAUUACUGGGCGUAAAGGGCGCGCAGGCGGCUCUUCAAGUCAGGCGUGAAAGCCCCGGGCUCAACCUGGGAAUUGCGCGCGAAACGGGGGGGCUUGAGUUCGGGAGAGGAGCGUGGAAUUCCCAGUGUAGAGGUGAAAUUCGUAGAUAUUGGGAAGAACACCGGUGGCGAAGGCGGCGCUCUGGACCGAGACUGACGCUGAGGCGCGAAAGCGUGGGGAGCAAACAGG